rnacentral:rRNA from 1 species
CCUACGGGAGGCAGCAGUGGGGAAUAUUGGGCAAUGGGCGCAAGCCUGACCCAGCAACGCCGCGUGAAGGAAGAAGGCUUUCGGGUUGUAAACUUCUUUUGACAGGGAAGAGUAGAAGACGGUACCUGACGAAUAAGCCACGGCUAACUACGUGCCAGCAGCCGCUGUAAUACGUAGGUGGCAAGCGUUGUCCGGAUUUACUGGGUGUAAAGGGCGUGUAGCCGGGUUGACAAGUCAGAUGUGAAAUCCUUCGGCUUAACCGCAGAACUGCAUUUGAAACUGUUGAUCUUGAGUACUGGAGAGGCAGAUGGAAUUCCUAGUGUAGCGGUGAAAUGCGUAGAUAUUAGGAAGAACACCAGUGGCGAAGGCGGUUUGCUGGACAGCAACUGACGGUGAGGCGCGAAAGCGUGGGGAGCGAACAGGAUUAGAUACCCCGGUAGUC